rnacentral:rRNA from 1 species
UACGUAGGGUGCAAGCGUUGUCCGGAAUUAUUGGGCGUAAAGAGCUCGUAGGCGGUUUGUCGCGUCUGCUGUGAAAACUCGGGGCUUAACUCCGGGCCUGCAGUGGGUACGGGCAGACUAGAGUGCGGUAGGGGAGACUGGAAUUCCUGGUGUAGCGGUGAAAUGCGCAGAUAUCAGGAGGAACACCGGUGGCGAAGGCAGCUCGCUGGGACGGUACUGACGCUGAGACGCGAAAGCGUGGGGAGCAAACAGG